GUAUAUAUAUCAGUGUGAGAGAUAGCCAAUUGUUCAUUUAAUUUCAUUGCUGCACUUUGUUAAUAUUCGUAGAGGUUUGAUCUUGUACGGUUUUUUAGACUUGCUUAUUCACCACUUCCGAAAAGAAUUCUUACUAUUUCCAGCAGCAAUUAGAUUACAUUUCUUCUAUGAUAAGAAUCGGCAUCACCAAGUUUUAAUACAAAUUAUGCGUGCCAUCGUAUGGCCAAUGGCAUGCAGCUGCAUACAUAUUUUAAUUAUGAAAGUUCAUAUAUAUUAACCGUGGAUAACAGAGUAGUUGUCAACAAUAGCAAUACUCCAUCACAUUACCAAUGCC